rnacentral:sRNA from 1 species
AUCAGGUUCCGACUCAGUCUCGAUUCCAUGUCGAAAACGCUAGAUAAAACAAGUCAAAUUUCAGAAUAUAUUUUGGUACUGUUCUACUGAUCACCUCACAUAACUCCACUAGUCUCGCCUGAUCCUCGUGGGAGCUUCCUCUAAAUGCCGGGUACUGCCAGUCCAGAUCUAUCCCGUCAAAGUCGUGGAAACGAAGGAAUGUUAUGGCGUUUGCGGUGAAGGUAUCCAUUGAUUCCUUGUCCCUGACCACGUUUGACCACGCCUCGCUGUCCAUCAUCCACCCUCCCACCGACAGGACCAUGUUCAGGUCGUCCUUGUGGUCCCUCAUAUCAUUCAGCCUCUCGGGCCUACCCAAAAAUCAUUCAUUUCAAGAUAAAUAAAGAUAUAGAAUAUGAAUUGCGAAUAGUGAGAGUAUCCAUGUAGGUUCGAUUUGUAGAUUACAUGUAUAAGAAUAUCUAAUUUAUGAUUUAUAACAAUAGCUAUUUUUCCUUUCUGUAAGACCAUUCCAAGUUUUUCCUACGUUUAGCAUCCCCUCAAAAGUCAAAAACAUUUUUACCAAUAAAACACACACAAAUCAACAGAAAAAUUACACAUUCUUACAUAAUCCAUUAAUAAAAUCUAUGAUUAAUAUUUUAAUAUUUCUUUACACUGUUACGAAAAUUAACACAUAUAUAUCCCAAACUUUUGUUCAAACGAAAAAACAAAGCAAAUUUAAAAUUCAAAAUCUUUGUGCAUCCGUUUUUUUUAACAUGAAAAGUAAAUGUACAUUUUGUUUUGGGUACAUGUUUGUAUUUGUUUUCAAUUUUCAUGCUUCAAAACCAAUCCGUCCGCGAAUGCUAAACACGGAAACAACUUGGUCCGGCCUAAUUUCUUACAGAUGCAUGUUUUCGUAGGUGUCCGGGAAUUUGAGGUUUUUGCCCGUGUCGUCUAUGGUGGCGUAAGCCAGGACCAGGUGGGAGCAAUGAUGGGCGUCAAUGUCCUCGGGGGUAAGGGCCUGGGAGCCGUCCCGAUAGAUCGCCCAGGCGCUGUAGUAACACAUCUUGAUAAAUUCUUAAAACAGAAAUCAAUAGGAAUCUACAAUUGUUUGCAGUUAUAGACACAUACCAGCAUUAAAGGUGAUAACACUCUAAA